UACGGGGGGGGCAAGCGUUGUUCGGAAUUACUGGGCGUAAAGGGCUCGUAGGUGGCCAAUUAAGUCAGACGUGAAAUCCCCAGGCUUAACCGGGGAACUGCAUCUGAUACUGGAUGGCUUGAGUUCGGGAGAGGGACGCGGAAUUCCAGGUGUAGCGGUGAAAUGCGUAGAUAUCUGGAGGAACACCGGUGGCGAAGGCGGCAUCCUGGACCGACACUGACGCUGAGGAGCGAAAGCCAGGGGAGCAAACGGG
rnacentral:rRNA from 1 species